rnacentral:rRNA from 1 species
AUUGAACGCUGGCUGCAUGCCUUACACAUGCAAGUCGAACGGCAGCGGGGGAGAAGCUUGCUUUUCCUGCCGGCGAGUGGCGAACGGGUGAGUAAUACAUCGGAACGUGCCCUGUAGUGGGGGAUAACUGCCGAAAGAUUAGCUAAUACCGCAUACGACCUGAGGGGGAAAGUGGGGGACCACAAGGCCUCAUGCUGUAGGCGCGGCCGAUAUCUGAUUAGCUAGUUGGUGGGGUAAAGGCCUACCAAGGCGACGAUCAGUAGCUGGUCUGAGAGGACGAUCAGCCACACUGGGACUGAGACACGGCCCAGACUCCUAAGGGAGGCAGCAGUGGGGAAUUUUGGACAAUGGGCGAAAGCCUGAUCCAGCAAUGCCGCGUGUGUGAAGAAGGCCUUCGGGUUGUAAAGCACUUUUGUCCGGAAAGAAAUGGCUCUGGUUAAUACCUGGGGUCGAUGACGGUACCGGAAGAAUAAGGACCGGCUAACUACGUGCCAGCCGCCGCCGUAAAAC